GCGAACGGGUGAGUAAUACAUAGGUAACUUGCCCCUAAGCUUGGGAUAACAUUCCGAAAGGAAUGCUAAUACCGAAUAAUCUCUUUUUAACAUAAGUUAAUUAGAGCAAAGAUUUAUCGCUUAGGGAUAGGCCUAUGCCUGAUUAGUUUGUUGGUGGGGUAAUGGCCUACCAAGACUACGAUCAGUAGCUGGUCUGAGAGGACGAACAGCCACAUUGGGACUGAGAUACGGCCCAGACUCC
rnacentral:rRNA from 1 species